rnacentral:rRNA from 1 species
GAUGAACGCUGGCGGCGUGCCUAAUACAUGCAAGUCGAGCGAACGGACGAGAAGCUUGCUCCUCUGAUGUUAGCGGCGGACGGGUGAGUAACACGUGGAUAACCUACCUAUAAGACUGGGAUAACUUCGGGAAACCGGAGCUAAUACCGGAUAAUAUUUUGAACCGCAUGGUUCAAAAGUGAAAGACGGUUUUGCUGUCACUUAUAGCUGGAUCCGCGCUGCAUUAGCUAGUUGGUAAGGUAACGGCUUACCAAGGCAACGAUGCAUAGCCGACCUGAGAGGGUGAUCGGCCACACUGGAACUGAGACACGGUCCAGACUCCUACGGGAGGCAGCAGUAGGGAAUCUUCCGCAAUGGGCGAAAGCCUGACGGAGCAACGCCGCGUGAGUGAUGAAGGUCUUCGGAUCGUAAAACUCUGUUAUUAGGGAAGAACAUAUGUGUAAGUAACUGUGCACAUCUUGACGGUACCUAAUCAGAAAGCCACGGCUAACUACGUG